CGUAGGUGGCAAGCGUUGUCCGGAUUUACUGGGCGUAAAGAGCGCGCAGGCGGUCGUUCAAGUCGCGUGUGAAAGCCCCCGGCUCAACUGGGGAGGGUCACGCGAUACUGAUCGACUCGAAGGCAGGAGAGGGUAGUGGAAUUCCCGGUGUAGUGGUGAAAUGCGUAGAUAUCGGGAGGAACACCAGUGGCGAAGGCGACUACCUGGCCUGUUCUUGACGCUGAGGCGCGAAAGCUAGGGGAGCAAACGGGAUUAGAUACCCCGGUAGUCCUAGCCGUAAACGAUGGACACUAGGUGUUGGUGGUAUCAACCCCGCCAGUGCCGAAGCUAACGCAUUAAGUGUCCCGCCUGGGGAGUACGGCCGCAAGGCUA
rnacentral:rRNA from 1 species